rnacentral:rRNA from 1 species
CGGGGGGGGCAAGCGUUGUUCGGAAUUACUGGGCGUAAAGGGCGCGUAGGCGGCCCGCUAAGUUAGAUGUGAAAACUCUGGGCUUAACCCAGAGCCUGCAUCUAAUACUGACGGGCUAGAGUUCUGGGAGGGGUAGCGGAAUUCCUGGUGUAGCGGUGAAAUGCGUAGAUAUCAGGAGGAACACCGGUGGCGAAGGCGGCUACCUGGACAGAGUCUGACGCUGAGGCGCGAAAGCUAGGGGAGCAAACAGGAUUAGAUACCCUGGUAGUCCUAGCCCUAAACGAUGGAUACUUGGUGUAGCUGGGAUUGAAUCCAGCUGUGCCGAAGCUAACGCAUUAAGUACUCCCGCCGUGGGGAGUACGGUCGCAAGGCUG